ACGUGAGAGGAUUACAGUCCCACUGCCUGAGUCACUGGGCUCCCACCCUGGUGCAGAGAAGCUAUUUCUAAAGGUCAGAUUGCACUGCUCCGCCCCAUGUGGUUUGAAGUAGAAACCCAGGGAUUCCGGUGUUGGAGCAGAAAUGAUUAGGGCUCAACAAUGCACACUUGGCGCUCACGUUUUGCCCUUGCUGUAACGCUACAGGCCGGCACUCCCAGGAGGCCCGUUCUGUGAGAGGCCGGCUUACAGAUGUUCCGCACGCUGGAGGCAGGUGUGCAGGGCGGAACCUAGCGACUCAGGGCUCAGACCCAACACGAGGGAAGGGGCGCGGAGAGACCAUAGGCGUGGGAUCAGGAGACACUUCCUGUGGGAAGUCUGCAGCAGACCGGUUCCAACUGCUACCUCUGAGAAAGGGAAGGAGAGCGGACCUAACCACUGUGACCAGGCUGGUAAAACGCUCCCAAGUCUCAUCUGUGCAGUUAGUACUUCCUCACGGCCACUUCAGAGGGAGGCUCGGGCACACCAGGGCCGCACAGCCAGAGGGUGCUGCCACCUCCUCCACUGGCAGCUCCAAGGCCCACUCCCUGCUGCGACCCUCUUCCCGCUUGUCUCCCAAGUGCAGCUGUCCUGCCUGCCCUCCGGCUCUGCUUCCCGCCUGGUCUCUUUCUUGAGUCCUCCAUUCUCCCUCUCCUUUGUGCUUUGGACCCUUGGGAGGUCUGUGUGACCUCAGAUGCUCCUGGGCCAGCUGGUGGGAGCGGGUGGGGCCUCGGAGGAAGAGCCCUCGGCCCCCAGGGCCCAGUGUCAGAGCUGAUGCCUCUCUCCCUGCCCUGGAUCUAGCUAGGCCCCUCUCCCCGCCUUCUGCGUUGUUGACCAACAGCCUAGAUCUGAUGCAGGAGCAGAAGAAUUUCCAUUCAGCUGGGACCCAGAUGAUGGUCGUCUCUGCCAAAACCCACAUACUGACCGAUAGAUCACUCAUUGAUGGAAGGGAAUAGAGCACAGGGCCUUCUAAUAAUGGUCUCGUAGUGCUCUGGAUUCAGCCCCAUGAAUGCGGACAGCAAAGAACCCCAGUUCUGGAGGCGGACAGGCCCAGUUCACCCACGUCCGCACCUGCGGGCUAGGCCGAGCGGCCCCAGAAAGGGGUCAAAUUCUCAGCCCCAAGUCUGCCUCUGCAGAACAGGCACAGGGUUGACAGUCAGGUGAGGGAGAGAGCAGCCAGGUAUCUGCUCCCAGGAGAGACACAAGCCUUGACAGGAGGGUGACAUUAAUCAAUACGGCAAGAGCCCCGCUGCAUCAGUGGUGUGACCCCCGGUACCGACGGUGAUGCUCUCAUAGGUUCUCUGCCAGCCAAGAUCCGACUCCUCACAGAGGCUACGGCUCAUUUCCUUCUGAAAAAUGGCACCCAGUUGUCCUUUGACUGGGCCACGGGCGCCAUGCAUUCUCCUCACAGCUGGAGGUACAGGCUCCCAGGCCCCAGGGAGCUGGGGAACUGAGGAUCUAUGAGGAGUAAGGCCCUGGAGGAGCUCAUGGAGGCCUCUCACCGGGCUGAAGACAGAAAAGGCCCUCCUCCCCCUCUGCUAGCUAUGGCUGCUCUCUUCCUCAUCAAACAGAGGCCAGUUUGGGUCUUGAAGGAAUCUGCACGGUGGCAGACCCAGGGGACUUCUGGCGUCUCACUCAGGCCUGGGGAUGACAAGAUGUACACAGCCAGAGGACAAGAGUCAGCUGCACUCAUGGAUCUGUGGGACCAGGGCAGGUUACAGAAGAAGGGAAAUCUAAGAACCCCGGGGGCCCCUCUCCACACCUGGAAGAUGGCCAGACGCCUCCCUCCCUGUAUCAGAGCCAUGGAGCAUCCAGACAGGGCCUCCUAAGUGGGAGCCAGACAAAAGAAAUGGCCCAGCAGCCCAGCACACCUCCUCUCCCCAAAGAAGACACAGAAAGGGAGUGAGGGCUUCGCCUGGGCCGGACCCGGGAGGUGGCCUGGUAACGGGAGAGUCCCCAGGUUUCGAGUGGAGGAACGACUUAGAGGAACGUGGGCCGAACACAAAAACCCUCAAAAGUGAGGUGACGAAACAAAGGGAUAAAAUGAAACAGAAGAGUGAGGUUGUGGUGGGGCAGGGGUGGGGCAGGGGGCACCCCCAAAUCAAAGACUGAAACAAGACAGGGCUGAGUGAACAGCUAAGUGCAAACAGAUCGCCAGGCACCGCUGAAGAUGAGGAGGUGAUCACAGAGGUUAGAAAGGAACUAACGGGAGAGCAGGGCAGAGGGCACCCAGCACAUCCCGGCCUGGAAGACAGAAGCCAAGAAAUGGCAGGGAGAAGCCAAAGACACAAACCAGUGGCAUUCCUGGGCAGCGGAGGAGGGUCUGUCCUUCCUCGGAGGACUUCCCUCACUGAGCUUUUGAAAGGAAUUCUUCACCUGUCAGGAGGACCAAACAAGCCACUUUCAGAGCGACAAACAGAUGGGCUUCAGACUUCGCUAUAGCAGCACCCAGUGUGGGGGGCAACGGCACGGGGUCUGCAGGCCUGGGAGAGAGCCGAGGAGGGCACCCAGCCAGGCCUGGGGAGGGCCCCACUCCUGAGGAAAUCCAGCUAAAUAAGGUACUGAUUUAGAAGAAAAACUCCAGGAACGGAGACGCUGUGGAGGAACAACAGGUGGUAAGAAUUGUAUCUGUUUAAAAAUACGAAACAGUAGGAAUUAUGAUUCUUCAACACGAUGUUUAUGUUACGAACUUGGACUGUGUGGUCCAAUAAUAAUACAACCACCACCACCAACAAAAAACACUGGAGGAGGGUGAGGGAGAGGUGAAGAAAGGGGCAGUGGGAAUAGGAUCGUCUUUCAGAAUCAGAGCCAACUGACACUGUCCGCAGCAGAAACUUUCGCAAAACUUACUGACUCAGGCUCUCCAUGUUUUGCCUGACCUCUUCUAUGACUCUUAGGAGGCUCUUUUGAGAAAUAAUACCUCUUGUAGCAAAGAAAUAUUUAUUUAAAGAGCAGAAAUUCCUGAGCUUUUAUUUCAGUUCCUUUUUCUGAUUGAAUUAAAAUGAAUACUUUUAAGUAAAACUAGCAAGGAUUGUGCUAUCCAGUUUUAAUAAACUCCAUCCUUAUAUCCAUCCAGCUAUUCAUCCUUCUGUAUGCAUGUACGUAUGUGUGUAUAUACAUGUUUUACACACAGAAUGUUAAGUCCAA